GAUGAAGAACGCAGCGAAAUGCGAUACUUGGUGUGAAUUGCAGAAUCCCGUGUACCAUCGAGUCUUUGAACGCAAGUUGCGCCCGAAGCCAUUAGGCCGAGGGCACGCCUGCCUGGGCGUCACACGUCGUUGCCCCCCCAUCUACUCCUUCGGGAUUGCGGGGGGCGGAUGAUGGCCUCUCGUGCGCCUCGUCGCGCGGUUGGCCUAAAUGCCAAGUCCUCGGCGACGCACGCCACGACAAUCGGUGGUUGCGAAACCUCGGUUGCCUGUCGUGUGCGGUCGUCGCGCAUCGAGGGCUCGAAAAAAUUGCCGGGCUUCGGCUCGACUUUCAACGCGACCCCAGGUCAGGCGGGGUUACCCGCUGAAUUUAAGCAUAUCAAUAAGCGGAGGA
rnacentral:misc_RNA from 1 species